rfam:Cryptosporangium arvum DSM 44712 genomic scaffold CryarDRAFT_CAH.1, whole genome shotgun sequence.
CUUGAUCGAGCCGAGCCACAGCGGCCGGUCGGCCGGGCGGUCCUGCCCGUAGGUCGCGAGCAGCGCGUGGGCUUC